AGCCAGUGUUUUAAGCCAUGAAUAUUAGACUGACAAGUUAGUGAUCAGCUGGAAGCCUAGACAGGGAAAACUGCAUUUUGACCUUCUUGGUGGGAAAUAGUACAAAUUAUAUCUAAUAUUAAUAAAUUCAUAUGUUUUUUGAGAAACAAUUUAAUAUUUUGAAAGUUUUUACAGAGUCAAGCUCCUCUUCACCCCCCAGAACCAAACUAAGGACCAUGGGAGACAGGGCCUUCUAUGCUGUUGCCCCCAUACCUGUGGAACGCCCUCCCUGACACCUUGAGGGCACCACAACCCACUAGCUGUUUUAAAAAAGGACUCAAAAUAUUUUCUUUUAGAAGAACUUUUGGUCCCCCUUUAUAGAUUUUUUUUCUUAAACCUGCUUAUUUUGCUUUUACUUUAACUUUAAUGAGAUCUUUCUCUUGUUUUAACUAAUAACCUGUUGUUAUAUUCCUUUAUUGUGAUAUUUCUCUGCUUUUAGCAUGUAGCCCUUUGAGGUCUCUGGGUAUAAAGGGCACUACAAAUAAAAUGUAUUAUAAUUAUCAUUAUGUUUAUAACUGCAGGAAACAGUAGAUCUAAAUAUUAAAAAGCAUUAUAAUACUGCAGACUUUCUAAAGUGUGCAGCUCAUUAAAUCAAAUGUUUUGUGGUAUUUGUAGGUUGUGCAAGGUGUGCAAGAUUCUGAGGGCUCUUCAGACAUGAAUGCUGUG